rnacentral:rRNA from 1 species
AACGAACGCUGGCGGCAUGCCUAACACAUGCAAGUCGAACGAGAUCUUCGGGUCUAGUGGCGCACGGGUGCGUAACGCGUGGGAAUCUGCCCUUUGGUUCGGAAGAACAGUUGGAAACGACUGCUAAUACCGGAUGAUGACGAAAGUCCAAAGAUUUAUCGCCAGAGGAUGAGCCCGCGUAGGGUUAGCUAGUUGGUGUGGUAAAGGCGCACCAAGGCGACGAUCCUUAGCUGGUCUGAGAGGCCGAUCAGCCACACUGGGACUGAGACACGGCCCAGACUCCUAGGGGAGGCAGCAGUGGGGAAUAUUGGACAAUGGGCGAAAGCCCGAUCCAGCAAUGCCGCGUGAGUGAUGAAGGCCUUAGGGUUGUAAAGCUCUUUUACCCGGGAUGAUAAUGACAGUACCGGGAGAAUAAGCUCCGGCUAACUCCGUGCCAGCAGCCGCCGUAA